UGGACUGAUGAUGAUGGCUAGUGUCAUAUGGGCCAUAUAUGAUGAAUAAAACAUGUCGUGACUUUGAUGUCCAA